GACGAACGCUGGCGGCGUGCCUAAUACAUGCAAGUAGAACGCUGAAGGAGGAGCUUGCUUCUCUGGAUGAGUUGCGAACGGGUGAGUAACGCGUAGGUAACCUGCCUGGUAGCGGGGGAUAACUAUUGGAAACGAUAGCUAAUACCGCAUAAUAGUAGAUGUUGCAUGACAUUUGCUUAAAAGGUGCAAUUGCAUCACUACCAGAUGGACCUGCGUUGUAUUAGCUAGUUGGUGGGGUAACGGCUCACCAAGGCGACGAUACAUAGCCGACCUGAGAGGGUGAUCGGCCACACUGGGACUGAGACACGGCCCAGACUCCUACGGGAGGCAGCAGUAGGGAAUCUUCGGCAAUGGACGGAAGUCUGACCGAGCAACGCCGCGUGAGUGAAGAAGGUUUUCGGAUCGUAAAGCUCUGUUGUAAGAGAAGAACGAGUGUGAGAGUGGAAAGUUCACACUGUGACGGUAUCUUACCAGAAAGGGACGGCUAACUACGUGCCAGCAGCCGCGGUAAUACGUAGGUCCCGAGCGUUGUCCGGAUUUAUUGGGCGUAAAGCGAGCGCAGGCGGUUAGAUAAGUCUGAAGUUAAAGGCUGUGGCUUAACCAUAGUACGCUUUGGAAACGGUUUAACUUGAGUGCAAGAGGGGAGAGUGGAAUUCCAUGUGUAGCGGUGAAAUGCGUAGAUAUAUGGAGGAACACCGGUGGCGAAAGCGGCUCUCUGGCUUGUAACUGACGCUGAGGCUCGAAAGCGUGGGGAGCAAACAGG
rnacentral:rRNA from 1 species